GGAGAAGAGAAGGACGAGAAGGAGAAAGAGAGAAUAUAUAUGUGUACGUAACACCUAACAUAGUUCGUCACAAUGAUACAUUGGGAGAGUGCGCGCGGGUAUAUUGGAAGAUAGGAAAGAGGGAGGUCAAGAGAAAGAGAAAAAAGAUACAGAUAGAUAGCUUGAAAGAGAAAGAGAAGAAAAUAAGGUAAAAGAUAGAUAGAUAGAUAAAUAGAUAAAGAUGAGGGACGAAAGAGAGGAAUAACGAUAUAGACAAAGAAAGACGUAGAAGAAAAGAAGAAAGAAAAAAGUGCAUCAUUACACCUACCAAGUGGUGGACAAAUCAUCCUUACAGAAGAUUAAAGACUUCAUCGGAUGUAUCACGGAACAUAUAAUAUAUACUGUGUCGGACACAAGGACUCUCAGCAUGACGCGAGAAUCGAAGGAGAGGCGUUACCCCGCGCACUACGACAAAACCCACCAUAGAUUCGUGUAUUUCCCGUACGAUUUUCACAAGUUUUACGGGAAUCUCAUGUAAUAAUAACACACUAUAUUUAAUCAUGUGUAAUAGAAAAAGUCAGUGGUUUAAAAAAACCAUAUGAAAACAGAUAUAAUUCUUGUUUGUUACUAUAGAACUACUGUUGGUUCACUGUGUACUUCGACCAUCGCAUGUUGUGUCAAUAAGUCUCAAUGUUUCGUAUCGUAGAUACAACCCUUUAGUACAAUUAUAAAUUGGCUACAUUCGAUCGCGUAGAUCAUUUAUUUAACAGGUUAGAAUCGGACAGUUGAUCGUCUACGUACGUGUACGUGGCCGGGAAUAACUAAAAACGUGAUUCUUUUUAUCGAGUGUUCCGUCACUUCGGUUUACAGAUUUCGCGUCUAGCUGUUCGUUGGAGGGCGUUCUUUCGUGGCGCGGCAAGCGUUCGGAAAUUGUCGGUUAUUUCCGUCGCUCUUCACGAAGAAUACUCGUGUGCUCCAAAAAGCCCGAGAAUAUAUGAGAAAGAAAACCACUAAAGUAUAGAAACUACAGAAAAUAAAUAUUUUUCUUAAAUAAAUUUAGCGAAAAUCUAUAAACUGAUUAAAUACUAUUUAUAAAUCUUUAUUAAUAGUAAAAAUUUUUUAGUAUAUUAAUUAAUGCGUAUUAAUUGUUUUUAAUUAUUUUAUUAUUUAUUAUUUAUUAUUGAAAAUUUCUAAUUUUUAUAAAUUUAUAUAUUAUAUAAAUAUAUGGAAUAUUAUAAAUUAUAAUAAGUUAAAAUAAAAAAAAUAAAUUCAUAUAAAUAAAAAAUUUUUUUAAAUAUUUUAUAUUGUUAUUUUUUUUAUUAAUAUUAUGAUAAUUAUAUCAAGGGUAAUUGAUUUCUAUUAAAAAUUUUUGUGAAAAACAUAAUCUGUUAAACAUGAUUAAUAAUAAGUAAAAAAGUAAAAUUUAUUAUAAUAUCAUUUUUUCAAUAAAUAAAUGACUUAGAUUUAUUGACAGAUAUAAUAUUACAUGCAAAUAGAAUUCAAUUAAUAUUAUUUAAAAUAAUUAUUAAUCGUUUAAAAUAUUCGUCACUUUUCAGCAGCAUCAUACGAGAACUUCGAUAGCAUGUCGCAAAGUGACAGUUGCAUGAUCUAACGAACCGAAUAUAGCUGAACGAUAUAAAACGUCAGAAGUAGUGGGGAAACUACCUCAGAUACUCACUUUUCUCCCCACCACCGAUUUGAGCGAAUCACAUACUUGCUCUCGCUUGCUUCUCUAUACUCAGGUAACCUGUGUAAUACUCUUGCUUCUCGCACUACCCGCCCAUCUACAUUGAAAGAAGCAAGAGAUCGAAUACAUAAAGGAAGAGAGAUGUUUGCCAUACGUGCAUGCGAGAAUGUAUUGAAAAGAGACAAGUAGAUAAACGGAGUGGGGAAGAAGAGGGGAAGGGGGGAGAAGGCAGAAAGGGGAAGUCACUAAUAUCUGGGGCUCCAGCGGCCGCGCAACUCGCGCCCUAAUCGAACUCUACAAGUCGCUUAUUCUCCAUCCCCACUUCCUACACCGUGCCCCUCCUAUAGAUAGGCAACUCAUACUCAAGAGAUCUCCCUUUCGCUCACUCAUGUUUGCUCUUUUCAGGAGAGAAGUAUCGAAGUUCUCCCGUCCACUGUAUCUAAGAUCAAAUGGCAUUUUUAUGCAAGAAGGUGGUGGUGCUGGAGAUUGAGAAAGAGCACGUUGUGGUGACUGACUGGAAGGAUUGGUUUGAUUCGCCGGAGGUGGUGGUGGAUUUGGUGGUCCACCUUGAUUCCAACCUCUUUGUUCUGUGUAAAGACUGGAAGGAUGGCUACUUUGCGUAGUAUAUGAAUUUAGCUAAAAAUAUAAAUAAUUAAUUAUUAUGAAUAAGUAUUAUAUUCAAUUAUUUUUUAAUUAUUAUUAAAUACCUGAUGGUGACUGUAUGGUGCAUGAGGUCUUGCAGGAGAAGAAUAACGUUGUGUAUAUUGUUGAUAUGGCAUAGGAGUUGGAGAACUAGGUCCUCCAGGACCUGCAUGUAAUCUUGGUGAUCCCUAUAUAUUAUAAAACAUAUUUAAUUAUAUAAUUAUAAAAAGAAUAAUAAAUCAUAUAUUUUAUAAAAUAUA